CAGCCGCCACGGUAAUACGGAGGGGGCUAGCGUUGUUCGGAAUUACUGGGCGUAAAGCGCACGUAGGCGGCUUGGUAAGUUAGAGGUGAAAGCCCGGAGCUCAACUCCGGAAUUGCCUUUAAGACUGCCGAGCUAGCAGGUGAGAGAGGUAAGUGGAAUUCCGAGUGUAGAGGUGAAAUUCGUAGAUAUUCGGAAGAACACCAGUGGCGAAGGCGACUGACUGGACAAGUAUUGACGCUGAGGUGCGAAAGCGUGGGGAGCAAACAGGAUUAGAUACCCGAGUAGUCCCUGUCUCUUAUAC
rnacentral:rRNA from 1 species